rnacentral:rRNA from 1 species
UGAUUAUUUUAUAAUAAAUAUAAAAAAUUAAAUUAAAGUUCUAGAUAAAUUAUUUGAUAAUGACAUACUUUAUCUAUAAGUCUUGACCAAGUCAUGUGCCAGCAGUCGCGGCAACACAUGGAAGACAAGUGUUAUUCAUCAUCACUAGGUUUAAAGGGUACGUAGAUAGUUAAUUAAGUCUAAAACAGAUACUGAUUAUACUAGAGUUUUAUAUAAGGAAGUAGUACGGUGAGUUUAGUGAUAGAAUAUAAAGACCACUUAGAGACUGGUAAGGGCGAAAGCAACUUUUUAUGUAAAAACUGACAUUAAGGGACGAAGGCUUAAUAAAUGAACAGGAUUAGCUACCCUGGUAAUGUGAGCAGACAAUGAUAAAUGCCAUAUAUAAGAUAUAUUAUAUUUUAUAUAUAAAUGAAAGUGUAAGCAUUUCACCUCAAGAGUAAUACGGCAACGUAGGAACUGAAAUCAUUAGACCGUUUCUGAAAAAAGUAGUGAAGUAUGUUGUUUAAUUCGAUGAUCCUCGAAAAACCUUACCACAAUUUGUAUAAUAUACAGGCGUUGCACGGUUGUCUUCAGUUAAUGUCGUGAGAUAUUGGUUUGUUCCAAAAAAUUGACGUAAACCCUUGCCUUUUUUUAUACAAAAGGUAGUUUGCCAAAUACUUUGGUUAUGAUACAAGGGACCAAGGCAAAUCAUCAUGACCUAAAUAUUGUGGGCUAUA